UGGGGAAUAUUGGACAAUGGGCGGAAGCCUGAUCCAGCCAUGCCGCGUGUGUGAAGAAGGCCUUUUGGUUGUAAAGCACUUUAAGCGAGGAGGAGGCUACCUAGAUUAAUACUCUGGGAUAGUGGACGUUACUCGCAGAAUAAGCACCGGCUAACUCUGUGCCAGCAGCCGCGGUAAUACAGAGGGUGCAAGCGUUAAUCGGAAUUACUCGGCGUAAAGCGCGCGUAGGUGGUUCGUUAAGUUGGAUGUGAAAGCCCCGGGCUCAACCUGGGAACUGCAUCCAAAACUGGCGAGCUAGAGUACGGUAGAGGGUGGUGGAAUUUCCAGGUGUAGCGGUGAAAUGCGUAGAGAUCUGGAGGAAUACCGAUGGCGAAGGCAGCCAUCUGGCCUAAUACUGACG
rnacentral:rRNA from 1 species